GGUGGCACAGUGGUAGAGCAUUUGCCUUGCAUGCAUGAGGAUCUGGGUUCGAUUCCUCAGCACCA
rfam:Dipodomys ordii contig_57090, whole genome shotgun sequence.